UAUCUUUGCCGCUCGAUAGAAAACCUAUCGGUACAUAAUAAUCAUUGAAAUAAUAUUGGAAUG
rnacentral:ncRNA from 2 species